rnacentral:rRNA from 1 species
UACGUAGGGUGCGAGCGUUAAUCGGAAUUACUGGGCGUAAAGCGUGCGCAGGCGGUUCGUUGUGUCGGCGGUGAAAGCCCCGGGCUUAACCUGGGAACGGCCGUUGAAACUGGCGAACUGGAGUGUGGCAGAGGGGGUGGAAUUCCGCGUGUAGCAGUGAAAUGCGUAGAGAUGCGGAGGAACACCGAUGGCGAAGGCAGCCCCCCUGGGCUAACACUGACGCUCAGGCACGAAAGCGUGGGGAGCAAACAGG